AUGACAACUCUGAGCAAGUCAAAACAACCGUCAGCAGCGGGAAACCUCGAUGAACAAACACCGGGAGAGUGUUUCUGCAGAUCCUGCUUUGUGACUUCGAGUGAAGUGUGGAAGCGCUGGAAGCACUUAGACCCUGCCUGUGCCGCAGACCCCUGGGAGGCACCAACACCCCGGAUCGAGAAGCCCGAUGGGAAAGAAUGUCUGGGAAGGACGUCAUGCCCGAGGCUUGCGUGACAGUUUCCACUCACAGUGCGCUCACUCUGAACCUCUGUGCACACGAUGGGCCUGCAUCUCUUCCCACUAUCUGCUAGGAAACACGAGGAAUCAUGGGAUUUGCCGCAGUUUGCACCCAGGCCUGUGCGGAUGCCCCCCGACUGCCCGAGAUGCUGCACCUGCCACUGCUGGGGGUGUACCUGCCUAUGCCCACUCACAGGGGCACCUCCAGGGUAGCUGCCUGGUGCAGGCAUUGGCUCUAAGCAGAGCAGCACUAUGGGCCCAUCUGGGGCUGGCUCUUGCCUGGGCCUGUGAGCACCAUCACAGCCAGCCGAUCUGGGAGUAUCCAG
rnacentral:lncRNA from 1 species